AAUCAUCAACCCCUACCGUUUCGUGCGGUUUGCGUGUUGGAUCUGGGGGCUUGCUGCCGAGAGGUGGCUCCCCUCAAAUGCGUCGGUUGGGCCUGUGGGUCGAACUCGAUUGGGCGUUGUAUUAUCCUCGCUUUAACGAGAUGUUCCCCUUCUUGUGCCCCUCCACGACCUGCCUUAUGAGUGGCGGUCAAGCAAACUUGAAA
rnacentral:misc_RNA from 2 species